rnacentral:rRNA from 1 species
GCCGCGUGAGGGACGACGGCCUUCGGGUUGUAAACCUCUUUUAGCAGGGAAGAAGCGAAAGUGACGGUACCUGCAGAAAAAGCGCCGGCUAACUACGUGCCAGCAGCCGCGGUAAUACGUAGGGCGCAAGCGUUAUCCGGAAUUAUUGGGCGUAAAGAGCUCGUAGGCGGUUUGUCGCGUCUGCUGUGAAAUCCGGAGGCUCAACCUCCGGCCUGCAGUGGGUACGGGCAGACUAGAGUGCGGUAGGGGAGAUUGGAAUUCCUGGUGUAGCGGUGGAAUGCGCAGAUAUCAGGAGGAACACCGAUGGCGAAGGCAGAUCUCUGGGCCGUAACUGACGCUGAGGAGCGAAAGGGUGGGGAGCAAACAGGCUUAGAUACCCUGGUAGUCCACCCCGUAAACGUUGGGAACUAGUUGUGGGGUCCAUUCCACGGAUUCCGUGACGCAGCUAACGCAUUAAGUUCCCCGCCUGGGGAGUACGGCCGCAAGGCUAAAACUCAAAGGAAUUGACGGGGACCCGCACAAGCGGCGGAGCAUGCGGAUUAAUUCGAUGCAACGCGAAGAACCUUACCAAGGCUUGACAUAUACGAGAACGGGCCAGAAAUGGUCAACUCUUUGGACACUCGUAAACAGGUGGUGCAUGGUUGUCGUCAGCUCGUGUCGUGAGAUGUUGGGUUAAGUCCCGCAACGAGCGCAACCCU